UUUUUAAAAAUAUUAAUCUUUCAUAUUAUAGUUUUUUUUUGUUUGUAGAUGCUUAUGGUAUUGUCGUGAGAGUUGGGAAUAUAACAAGACCGGACUUUGUCCCUCAAGCUUCAGAAAAUACUAUACUUUCUCAUUUUCUCGAAUUUGAGAUUAAAAAUUCUUGGUUAGUAUUUUCCAAUAUAUAGUUCGUCAUCUAUUUGCUUAUAUAUUUGAAUGCACAAACAUAGUAAAUAUUGUUAUCUUUAUAGUUGGUUUAAUUCAUAGAACUUAGAUGUUUUGGUGUAAUAAUUUGAUAUUGUUAUUAGGGGUAAAUCUCUCAUAUGUGUUGCAACCGGAUAUACUUGUGAGUUGUUUGUGCAAUUAUGGAGGGGACUUGGUCUAGAACUUGGUUAUCACUGGAACUUUGGUAUGAAUCCUACAAUCUGUGUGCUACGAUUUUGGAAUGUUGAUGAUCAUGAAGGUAUAUUUAAGACUCAUUUUAUGUUAUCUAUAAUUUAUAUAGCUACUUCAUAUAAUAAAAAAGUUAAUAUUUUAGGUCGUCAAUGUCUAAUCUCACAUAAUGGUGCUUCAAGAAUUACAUUCAAUCAAAGUUACCCACAAAUUAACAUGGAUCGCGUCAGGUAAGAACGUUUAUAUUUACAUUAUCCCUUAACUGUUUAUUGUAUUUUUUAAAAUUUUGGUCUUGGUUAUUUUUAUUUUUUCUAUUUUCCUACUGUUUCAGAACUCAAUUCCUUCAACGAAUGCAAACACCUGAGCUAGAUGAAGUUGUGGACGAGAACUGAAAAUGCAACCCCAGACCCCUAUCUAUCGUUUUAUUUAAAAACUUAUCUACAUAUGUUUUAAAGUUGUACUUUUAAAGACUUUGUUU
rnacentral:sRNA from 1 species